GACGAACGCUGGCGGCGUGCUUAACACAUGCAAGUCGAGCGGUAAGGCUCCUUCGGGAGUACACGAGCGGCGAACGGGUGAGUAACACGUGAGUAAUCUGCCCUUCACUUCGGGAUAACCACCGGAAACGGUGGCUAAUACCGAAUACGACCAGUCUUCGCAUGAGGUGCUGGUGGAAAGUCUUUUCGGUGAAGGAUGUGCUCGCGGCCUAUCAGCUUGUUGGUGGGGUAAUGGCCUACCAAGGCUUCGACGGGUAGCCGGCCUGAGAGGGUGACCGGCCACACUGGGACUGAGACACGGCCCAGACUCCUACGGGAGGCAGCAGUGGGGUAUAUUGGACAAUGGGCGAAAGCCUGAUCCAGCAACGCCGCGUGAGGGAUGACGGCCUUCGGGUUGUAAACCUCUUUCAGUACCGACGAAGCGCCCUGUCGGGUGGUGACGGUAGGUACAGAAGAAGGACCGGCCAACUACGUG
rnacentral:rRNA from 1 species